AUUGAACGCUGGCGGCAUGCUUUACACAUGCAAGUCGAACGGCAGCACGGGUGCUUGCACCUGGUGGCGAGUGGCGAACGGGUGAGUAAUAUAUCGGAACGUGCCCUAGAGUGGGGGACAACCAGUCGAAAGAUUGGCUAAUACCGCAUACGAUCUAAGGAUGAAAGUGGGGGACCUUCGGGCCUCAUGCUCCUGGAGCGGCCGAUAUCUGAUUAGCUAGUUGGUGGGGUAAAGGCCUACCAAGGCGACGAUCAGUAGCUGGUCUGAGAGGACGAUCAGCCACACUGGGACUGAGACACGGCCCAGACUCCUACGGGAGGCAGCAGUGGGGAAUUUUGGACAAUGGGGGCAACCCUAAUCCAGCAAUGCCGCGUGAGUGAAGAAGGCCUUCGGGUUGUAAAGCUCUUUUGUCAGGGAAGAAAUUGCCUGGGUUAAUACCCUGGGUAGAUGACGGUACCUGAAGAAUAAGCACCGGCUAACUACGUGCCAGCAGCCGCAGUAA
rnacentral:rRNA from 1 species